AUACGGAGGGUGCAAGCGUUGUUCGGAAUCACUGGGCGUAAAGGGCGCGCAGGCGGUUUGGUAAGUCAGAUGUGAAAGCCCACGGCUCAACCGUGGAAGUGCAUUUGAAACUGCCAGACUUGAGUACCAGAGGGGAAAGUGGAAUUCCCGGUGUAGAGGUGAAAUUCGUAGAUAUCGGGAGGAAUACCGGUGGCGAAGGCGACUUUCUGGCUGGAUACUGACGCUGAGGCGCGAAAGCGUGGGGAGCAAACAGGAUUAGAAACCCCUGUAGUCC
rnacentral:rRNA from 1 species